GGUUGAUGGACGGAUGGGUGGAUGGAUGGGUAAGUGAUAGAUUAGCUAAGUGGCAGAUACAGAUAGAUAAAUGAUACAGAUAUAUAUGAUUGAUCAAUGAAUAUAGAUGAUAGACAUAGGAUAGAGAUCAUCAAUAUAGAUAGAUGUGGCAGACAGGUAAGUAAUAGAUUGAAAUAGACAAAUAGAGAUAGGUAGAGAGAUAGAAUAGAUAGCAGAUAUGAUAGAGAGAUCACAGAGAUAGAGAGAUAGGGGAGAGAGAUGAUUGAGAGAGACAGAGAGAGAUGGAAGGGACCAGUGCUGGCGGGGAUGUGGAGAACUUGGACCCUUGUGCCCUGCUGGUGGGAUGUCAAUGGUGCACCCACUGUGGAAAACUGUCUGGAGAGUCCUGAACACAUUAGAUGUGGAAUUACCACAGGAUGGCAGCCACGCGGCACGUCCCUGAGCAGCCGGGAGCCCAGCGACUCUUCUUUAACAGUACGAACACGGUGAGACUGCUGGGCCAUUUAUCCAGUUAGUGACAGGACAAAACCAAAUUCCAGAGGCCGUGCCACCUGCACGCCCAGGCUCUGCGGUAAUUCCUGGCUUUGUUAGCCAUGGGGCUAACCAGGGCUGAGCCACCCAUGAGGCACCUUCCUGGAGGCUGGGGUGUCACCCUCUGCGCCCCGAUGCGGGCCCCAUUAUGUGGGUGACCUGCGCCCAGGGGACCCUGGGCAGCCUGCAAGUGAGCGUGGUUCAGGGCUGGGCCACACAUCCUGGCUCUGCACAGCACCUACCUGGUUUUUGGUUACUCACCUGUCCUUUAAAAUAUGUGUAGAGCAGGGAGAGGAGCUCACAUGGCAGGGGCAGCCCACGCAGGGUGGCAAGGGCACAGGUGCGAGCUCAGGUGAUGCUGCUCCUCUGGGGCAGGCCAGGCACCCGUCCUGGGGGGCGUCCUGCAGCCCCUAUACCCCCUGGCCUGAGCAGCCCCCAUUCUGCCAGAGCAGCAGGGCCCCACCUUCCUGCGGGGCACCUGCCCUCCCCACGGGCAGCUCAGUGCAUGACAGCUCUGACCCAGCAUCAACUGAGAAUGCUUCUGGGGGAAGGAAACUAAAAGGCAUUGGAGUGGCUCGGACCUGCAGGAUGGAGCUGCGCCCAGUACAGGGCGGAGUCGAAGUGGCUCGGACCUGCAGGAUGGAGCUGUGCCCAGCACAGGGCGGAGUCGAGGUCCCACAGGUGGGGAGGACCCGGCAGCUAGGGAUGGAGCCACCUGGGGCUAGAAACAGAACGACAGGGUCAGGGGAGGAACAGACAUGCAGGAGGGACAGUGAGGGAGGUGACGCGGCCAUGGGUGAGGUCAGGGCCCAGGGAAGCUCCCAAUGGCUCCGGAGCCAGGGCUCACCAGCAGCCAAGCACCGGGAUGGAGGGGAUGCUCAGCAAGGGCUUCCCGCCUUCCAGAAAAGGCGACAUCCACCCUCAUGGCCCAAAUGGGAGGGUUUGGGGAAGGAAUUUCAGAAGGGCCCCUGCCCCCGCCCUGCCCAUGACUUCGGUGGCUGAUCCCACUCUCCAUGAGGCGUCUGCUGUGGCUGCAUUGCCCGGGAGCCAGCUGGGCUGGGAGGGCAGGGACAACUCGGACUCUGUGUGCCCCCACUGCCUGGGAAGGCGGCCAACACCGCUUUUGAAUUUUAAAUGAAACCAAAAUUGACUGCGGUAGCGGGGAAAUAUUUCCUAACACAGUAAUUUCCCUCAGAGUGCAGUUGCCACAUCAAUAAAAAUAAACAGCUCUGUAGUGGCCACAGCUCAGGAAGCAGGCAGAGCACAGGCUGGCCCAGGAGGCUGCUUCCCUGGCUCCUACCUGCCUCCCACCUCCCCACGGGCCUCCCCGAGCCUCCUCACGGCAGGGCGGCUGGUGACCCGAGAGGGGUGGCUGGGGACAGCAUGGAGGACAGGACAGCACCUCAGGACCGGAUUCUGGAUACACUGCACCCUCUCGUGCCAGGUGUUGGCAGUUCCGACCAAGCCCAGGCAUGAGGGAGGGCCAGGCGGUGUGAGCCCGGGGGCAUCCUGGGGGUCGUUCUGGAGGCCAGAAGCUGCAGCCGGAACCACUGGACUAGAAUGACAGCAGGAUCAGCCCAGCACCGCGCCACCGCCUCCCCGUCUGCCUGCCAGCCAGUAGGGCUUCAGCCACUCACCAGCUGUCCCAAGCAGCAAAGCCCGUCGGGCCUCGGGGAGCACUGUCUGUGGCAGUUCACAGCUCCUUCCCCGACACUGUCACGUGCCUGAGUGGCCCAGACAGCAAUCGGCCAGCAUGCUGAGCAGAGCUGGGAGCAGGGUGGACCUGGCAGAGCACUCCCCAGCUGGGGUGAAGAGGGCUCGCCCAGCGUGGGCAUGGGCGGCUGCCUAGACACCCACGUGAGCACUGCCCAAGCUCUGGGGAAACGAAUGAAAGAAGGAAAAGGGGCCGAGAGAGGCGAGAAGAGAACAAUGCUGUUUCAGUCCCAGGUCCAAUCACACCUGCUGCCAGCCCCAUCUGUUCACAUCUCAUUCCCCAGAGCCCGUGGCUGUGUCCCCCACGGGGCAGAAGAGACUCUGCAGGAUGGAGGCAGGAGAGGCAGAGGGAGCAGUGGCCGCAGCAGCAGAGGUCGGGGUGACAAGCAAGGGACCAUGCCAGAGCCCAGGAGCACAGCAGACUCUGGAGCCCAAAGAAGUCAGCAACGAGUCUUCCCAGAACCCCCAGAGGUGCCCAA
rnacentral:lncRNA from 1 species